rnacentral:rRNA from 1 species
GACGAACGCUGGCGGCGUGCCUAAUACAUGCAAGUUGAGCGAUGAAGAUUGGUGCUUGCACCAAUUUGAAGAGCAGCGAACGGGUGAGUAACGCGUGGGGAAUCUGCCUUUGAGCGGGGGACAACAUUUGGAAACGAAUGCUAAUACCGCAUAAUAACUUUAAACAUAAGUUUUAAGUUUGAAAGAUGCAAUUGCAUCACUCAAAGAUGAUCCCGCGUUGUAUUAGCUAGUUGGUGAGGUAAAGGCUCACCAAGGCGAUGAUACAUAGCCGACCUGAGAGGGUGAUCGGCCACAUUGGGACUGGGACACGGCCCAAACUCCUACGGGAGGCAGCAGUAGGGAAUCUUCGGCAAUGGACGAAAGUCUGACCGAGCAACGCCGCGUGAGUGAAGAAGGUUUUCGGAUCGUAAAACUCUGUUGGUAGAGAAGAACGUCGGUGAGAGUGGAAAGCUCAUCAAGUGACGGUAACUACCCAGAAAGGGACGGCUAACUACGUG